rnacentral:rRNA from 1 species
AGAAAUCAGUUCAGCACUAAGUCACUUUGUCUAUAUGGCAAAUGUGAGAUGCAGUGUAUGGAGCGUCAAUAUUCUAGUAUGAGAAAUUAACGAUUUAAGUCCUUCUUAAAUGAGGCCAUUUACCCAUAGAGGGUGCCAGGCCCGUAUAACGUUAAUGAUUACUAGAUGAUGUUUCCAAAGAGUCGUGUUGCUUGAUAGUGCAGCACUAAGUGGGUGGUAAACUCCAUCUAAAACUAAAUAUAACCAUGAGACCGAUAGUAAACAAGUACCGUGAGGGAAAGUUGAAAAGAACUCUGAAUAGAGAGUUAAACAGUACGUGAAACUGCUUAGAGGUUAAGCCCGAUGAACCUGAAUAUCCGUUAUGGAAAAUUCAUCAUUAAAGUUGUAAUAUUUUGACAAUAUUAUAAUAAUAGUGUGCAUUUUUUCCAUAUAAGGACAUUGUAAUCUAUUAGCAUAUAACAAAUUUAUCAUAAAAUAUGGCUUAUAGUUUAUUCAAAUUAUUAUGCUUGCAUUUUAACAUAGAAUAAAUGUCAUUAAUUUGAUAAAGUGUUGAUAAAUUAAAAUUAAUACAGUGCGUUAAUUUUUCGAAAUUAUAUAAUGGCAUAAUUAUCAUCGAUUUUUGUGUUUAUUAUAUGCAUUUGUAUGAUUAA